UACUCUUUGGCAGCAGCGGCCAGCGCCAUUUUCUGUUUCCUGAUUCUCUUCCCACGGCGGCGACUUGCUUGCCAACGCCAAAAAGUUAAAAAUGAGUUUUUGAUUAAUUAUCGUGUGCAGACUGCCGAACUUAAAUCCGUCGAAUUAUUUUAGUGUGGAUUGCAUAGAAAUAAGUUGACGGCUACUUUGAAGUAAAAUGUCGCGUCACGGCGAUUGUAAGGUGUAUGUAGGCGAUUUAGGUAACAAUGCAAGCAAACCUGAACUUGAAGAUGCGUUUUCAUACUAUGGUCCUCUAAGGAAUGUAUGGGUAGCUCGAAAUCCGCCGGGGUUUGCUUUCGUUGAAUUUGAGGACGCACGGGAUGCUGAGGACGCAGUACGUGGUUUAGAUGGGCGGACCAUAUGCGGCUGUCGUGCUCGUGUGGAAAUGUCGAACGGGAGUCGUGGACACGGCGGCCGGGGGCCGCCACCUCGCUCUCGGUUGCCGCCGCGCCCCUAUGACGAUCGCUGCUAUGAUUGUGGAGGCCGUGGACACUAUGCCAGGGACUGCUCUCGUAGGCGUCGCCGCAGGUUAUCAUUGGCCUGUGCGCCGAGACCGAACUCUUCAGUGUCUGCACUUCUUAUAGUCUGCGCUACGUAGCUUUCACUUCGCGUCGUGCACUCCACUAAUGUUGGCAGCAUCUGUAACUUCGCUCUGUGAACUACGUAACUACAGCCUACGUGCACCCUUCAAUUAUCGAGAAGUACAAAGAGCGUAAUGUUUGUACUGCGCGUCGUGGCACGUCUGUUGUAAUCACUGCGUGCUCUCACCGCUCCAGGUCUCGCCGCCGCACUCGCUCUCGUUCGCCGAGGUCGGGCUCCCGCUCCCGCAGCCGCUCCCGCUCUCGCUCGCGCUCUAAAGCAAGAUCUAUGUCGCGUUCACGAUCACGUUCGCCAUCCAAAGAU